rnacentral:rRNA from 1 species
GAUUGAACGUGCUUGCACGGACUUGACGUUGGUUUACCAUCGAGUGGCGGACGGGUGAGUAACACGUAUGUAACCUGCCCCAAAGCGGGGGAUAACAUUUGGAAACAGAUGCUAAUACCGCAUAACAAUUUGAAUCGCAUGAUUCAAAUUUAAAAGAUGGCUUCGGCUAUCACUUUGGGAUGGACCUGCGGCGCAUUAGCUUGUUGGUAGGGUAACGGCCUACCAAGGCUGUGAUGCGUAGCCGAGUUGAGAGACUGAUCGGCCACAAUGGAACUGAGACACGGACCAUACUCCUACGGGAGGCAUCAGUAGGGAAUCUUCCACAAUGGGCGCAAGCCUGAUGGAGCAACACCGCGUGAGUGAAGAAGGGUUUCGGCUCGUAAAGCUCUGUUGUUAGAGAAGAACGUGCGUGAGAGCAACUGUUCACGCAGUGACGGUAUCUAACCAGAAAGUCACGGCUAACUACGUGCCAGCAGCCGCGGUAAUACGUAGGUGGCAAGCGUUAUCCGGAUUUAUUGGGCGUAAAGCGAGCGCAGGCGGUUUGAUAAGUCUGAUGUGAAAGCCUUUGGCUUAACCAAAGAAGUGCAUCGGAAACUGUCAACUUUGAGUGCAGAAGAGGACAGUGG